UACGUAGGGUGCGAGCGUUAAUCGGAAUUACUGGGCGUAAAGCGUGCGCAGGCGGUUUUGUAAGUCAGAUGUGAAAUCCCCGGGCUUAACCUGGGAAUGGCAUUUGGGACUGCAAGGCUAGAGUGUGGCAGAGGAGACUGGAAUUCCUGGUGUAGCAGUGAAAUGCGUAGAUAUCAGGAGGAAUACCGAUGGCGAAGGCAGGUCUCUGGGCUGACACUGACGCUCAUGCACGAAAGCGUGGGGAGCAAACAGG
rnacentral:rRNA from 1 species